rnacentral:rRNA from 1 species
AUUGAACGCUGGCGGCAGGCCUAACACAUGCAAGUCGAGCGGAUGAAUGGAGCUUUCUCCUGGCUUCAGCUGCGGACGGGCGGGUAAUGCCUAGGAAUCUGCCUGGCCUUGGGGGCUAACGUCCGUUCACGGGCGCUAAUACCGCAUCCGUUCUUAUGGUGAACGUCGGGGAUCUUCGGACCUCACGCUUUCUGAUGACCCUUGGUCGGAUUAGCUAGUUGGUUGGGUAAAGGCCUACCAAGGCGACGAUCCGUAACUGAUCUGAGAGGAUGAUCAGUCACACUGGAACUGAGACACGGUCCAGACUCCUACGGGAGGCAGCAGUAGGGAAUAUUGGACAAUGGGCGAAAGCCUGAUCCAGCCAUGCCGCGUGUGUGAAGAAGGUCUUCGGAUUGUAAAGCACUUUAAGUUGGGAAGAAGAGAAGUGAGUGAAUACCUUGAUGUUUUGACGGUACCAACAGAAUAAGCACCGGCUAACUACGUG